CAAUGCCAUUCCAAUAUCUGAAAGACAUAGCAAUGGUGGGGUUAGUGCCAUGAUGCCAUGCAGUCUCAUUCCGCUUGGAAUAUCUCCUAUUCACUAGGACACUGGGGCAUUUGCUGGUUGCAGCUGGAGAGUCCUCUGUGCACGAAUGAAGCAGUGAGCACAAAAAACCCUGCACAGAAGAACAGAGCUAACCUUUCUUGAUUCAGCUGGAAGGCAAGCAGAAGUAGAAGCUCAUCAACAAAGUGUGAGGCACGUGAUAGGUAUCUUAUAAAUACAAAAAGGACGCAAGGAAGACAGGAAGAGUGUCAGAGCCCUGCCUCAGGAUUUCUCCUCAUCCUUAGCUCUUGGGAACCAGCCAGAGUCUGCCAGCCCUCGAACCUGAAUCCCUUGAUAACCCAUCUCCUCCAGCUGCUCUGCUACUCGAUCCACAUUCAGAAGCACCCCAGUUCCCCCAGCACUGCAAUGACAAGAUCAGUAAUUCAGUCACAGACCUGCAAGACAGCUACGAUACAUACUGCUUUCACCGUUUUGAUGCAUUGAGCAAUUUGACCAGUCUGUAAGGGCAUAAUCUAGUCAGCAAGUUAUU